rnacentral:rRNA from 1 species
AGAUAAUAGAUACCCCGGUAGUCCACGCCCUAAACCGAUGCAUAUUUGGUGUGGGCAGUUCAUUCUGUCCGUGCCGGAGCUAACGCGUUAAAUAUGCCGCCUGGGGAGUACAGUCGCAAGGCUGAAACUCAAAGGAAUUGACGGGGGCCCGGCACAAGCGGUGGAGCAUGUGGUUCAAUUCGACGCAACGCGAAGAACCUUACCUGGGCUCGAACGGCUGGUCAACGGAGGUGGAAACAUCUUUACCCCGCAAGGGGGUCCAGUCGAGGUGCUGCAUGGCUGUCGUCAGCUCGUGUCGUGAGAUGUUGGGUUAAGUCCCGCAACGAGCGCAACCCUUGUCCUGUGUUGCCAUCAUUUAGUUGGGAACUCGCAGGAGACCGCCAGCGAUAAGCUGGAGGAAGGUGGGGAUGACGUCAAGUCCUCAUGGCCUUUAUGUCCAGGGCUACACACGUGCUACAAUGGGCGGUAC